AUACGGAGGAUCCGAGCGUUAUCCGGAUUUAUUGGGUUUAAAGGGUGCGCAGGCGGCCAUUUAAGUCAGCGGUUAAAUCGUGGGGCUCAACCCCAUUCUGCCGUUGAUACUGGGUGUCUUGAUUGCGGUCGAGGUUGGCGGACUUCGUUGUGUAGCGGUGAAAUGCAUAGAUAUGACGAAGAACACCGAUUGCGUAGGCAGCUGACCAGACCGCAAAUGACGCUCAUGCACGAAAGUGCGGGGAUCGAACAGGAUUAGAUACCCUGGUAGUCCGCACAGUAAACGAUGAAUACUUGUUUUCGGCGAUAUAAUGUCGGAGGCAAAGCGAAAGCGAUAAGUAUUCCACCUGGGGAGUACGCCGGCAACGGUGAAACUCAAAUGAAUUGACGGGG
rnacentral:rRNA from 1 species